rnacentral:rRNA from 1 species
UACGUAGGGUGCAAGCGUUAAUCGGAAUUACUGGGCGUAAAGCGUGCGCAGGCGGUUGUGCAAGACAGAUGUGAAAUCCCCGGGCUCAACCUGGGAAUUGCAUUUGUGACUGCACGGCUAGAGUGUGUCAGAGGGGGGUAGAAUUCCACGUGUAGCAGUGAAAUGCGUAGAGAUGUGGAGGAAUACCGAUGGCGAAGGCAGCCCCCUGGGAUAACACUGACGCUCGUGCACGAAAGCGUGGGGAGCAAACAGG